ACGUCUCAGUUCAGAUUGCAGGCUGCAACUCGCCUGCAUGAAGUCGGAAUUGCUAGUAAUCGCAGAUCAGCAUGCUGCGGCGAAUACGUUCCCGGGCCUUGUACACACCGCCCGUCACACCAUGGGAGUCGGUAACACCCGAAGUCGGUAGCCUAACCGUAAGGAGGGCGCCGCCGAAGGUGGGAUUGAUGACUGGGGUGAAGUCGUAACAAGGUAAC
rnacentral:rRNA from 1 species